rnacentral:rRNA from 1 species
UACGAAGGGGGCUAGCGUUGCUCGGAAUUACUGGGCGUAAAGGGCGCGUAGGCGGACAGUUUAGCCAGAGGUGAAAGCCCAGGGCUCAACCUUGGAAUUGCCUUUGAUACUGGCUGUCUUGAGUUCGGGAGAGGUGAGUGGAAUGCCGAGUGUAGAGGUGAAAUUCGUAGAUAUUCGGCGGAACACCAGUGGCGAAGGCGACUCACUGGCCCGAUACUGACGCUGAGGCGCGAAAGCGUGGGGAGCAAACAGG